UUCAUUCACUUAAUUACUUCAUAAAACAUGGCUAAUCUUUCUUGAUCCAGCAAAACACAGACUUUCUACUGAACUCUGAUAGGAAUCUCUAUCUCCUCACUGCAACAUUUCACCUCCAACCUGUUUAUUAUCCUUGACUAGAACUGAAAUACACUUGUUGGCUGUUUUUUAUCUCUGGGCAGUGCUACAGUUGCCUCUAAUCCUAAUACAAGAAUGUAAGAACUCUCUAUAGUGGAUAAUUCAGCUGUUGGGUAUUUUGGAUGUAAAAAGUUCUUUUAUUCCAGGUUAGACAUACUGAAGAGUUAAUGCGCUUUCAGCUGUAAGAAGUGCCACAAUAUUGAUUUUGGAUAUUAUUUGCUAAUUCAUUUGAGCUGUGUAAAUCAUUUGAUCAGAAGUUGUAAUUACAGUCAUGCCUUGCCACAUUCCCUGUGCUGCAGCGUGUUCAGGCUUUAAUCUGGAAACAAUCUGGUGCAGAAAGCAUUUCACACACAGAAGGAUAAAGGGCCAGAUCUCAGAUCCAGCUAUGUUUCCCAUGCAGAGCAGUGCUAUAGUUGUCUUAAUAGGGCACUUCGGGACUUUCAGUUAAUACAGAAAGCCUUCAGCAUCAGUAUGGCAGACAACAUAAAUAAAGCAGGAUGACUUCCCCUUAGACUAAAUAAAGGAUGCCUGGAAAAUUAAGCCAGACACUCCUUUUUACCCUAAAGCCAUACUGAACUUAUCCCACAUCACAGCCAGUAGCGAACAACUGUCUACCCAGUAGAGUAAAGCCAGCAGCAAGAGCACACACAUGUCAUGGAAAGGGUUCUACUUCCCCCAGUUAUCUUUGCAUGACAGCAAGACUCACUGUUUCACCAUCUUGAUUGCUUCCGUAUCUCUUAAGGCAGUGGCUGCAGUCUUUGUUGUAGAGCCCUGAAAAUCUUCUGUAGAGGUUUAUUGAUGGGUUUUCUCCUCCUCUUAUAAGGCACAUUUCCACUGAGUUCAUUUUUUUUCUAAACGUUCACUCAAGAAAGAAAAUCUUUACAGUAACAAAUGUUUAAAUUGCAUUUCUGCACUUUACUCUGUACCUUCACUACUGCAUUAGGAAAAUUUUGCUCUUGUAAUUUAGGUGGAUUUAAAAAUAUAUCACUUUAAAAGUACAUGCAGUGGCAUAGACCUUGAUUUAACAUCCCUUCGUAUCUCCUGUAUACCGCUGUAUCUUUUUAACAGAUAAGGGAUUUAUUUCCUCCUGUGUCUCUCAGGACUGCAGAUUCAGCUUUGUUAGCUCUGCUGGGCAAUUGUGCAGAAAAACUAGUUUAACCUGUGCAGUAAGUGAUCGUUGGCUUAUACAAAGCUACUGAGACAUUUGUCCAUUUUACAAUAGGCUGCAAUUUUAAAAUACCGCAAAUACAAGUUUGACCUCUUUAUUUGCUCUGCUCCUGACUUCUUUUCUUUAUAAAACAGCCAUAUUUUAUAGCAGUGGCAUCUGGAAUUUUGCAAGAAUUUGCUAAAUGCUUGAAACAAGAAUGUUACAAGUAAGUCAACUGGCAGGAAAAAUUAUGGUUUUCUAGCAGACAAAAUGACACUGGCUACUUUGAAGAUGCUGCAGUUGGUGCAAUCCCUCUGUUUAUGUCCUGAACUACUUAACCCCAACAUCAGUGUUUUCAGUGUGUAAGAGAAAACACCCAGUGACUGGAAAAACCCCGCAACAUGUUCUGCAACUUACUAAAGAGCACAUAUUAGUUGUAAUAUCCCAGAGAAACAUGAAUUGAAAUACAAGCCAGUCCUGGGAAGAAUAAAAGGUGUUCAUCCUUUAUGGUAGAGGUGUAUUAGAAACAUAAUGACUCAAGCAAAACAAAACUACAAAUAAUGGAUAAAUAAAGUACUUGGGAGUGGUUUUUGGGGGCUGAGUUCUUACCACUUUGCAAAGCUAUUGUGCCUAUAGCUGUCUAGAAGAGAAAAAAUACUUUUAAAAUUGAAAAGACUUGAAUUCUCACACACACACAAAAAAAAGUAUAAUCAAAGUUAAAACUACAUUGAAAUUGAAAGACAAGAUUGAGGCCAGUAUAGGCAAUGUUUAAGUUCUGUCUUCUGAGGCUAAUCCUUCACAAUUUCCUCUGUCAUCAGUAAAAAGAAACAGGUUCUUCUGAAUGAUGCCUCAGAGCAGAAUUCUAUCCUAGGCACUGUGGAUUGUUUGCUGAAGGUUGUUAUUGACUCCACAGAGAACUUGCAAAAAUAAAGAAGAGGUACAGUUGUGAUUACUGUCUUCAGGACGU
ensembl:lncRNA